rnacentral:rRNA from 1 species
GUCCAGACUCCUUACGGGAGGCAGCAGUGGGGAAUAUUGGACAAUGGGCGCAAGCUGAUCCAGCCAUACCGCGUGGGUGAAGAAGGCCUUCGGGUGUAAAGCCCUUUGUUGGGAAAGAAAUCCAGCUGGCUAAUACCCGGUUGGGAUGACGGUACCCAAAGAAUAAGCACCGGCUAACUUCGUGCCAGCAGCCGCGGUAAUACGAAGGGUGCAAGCGUUACUCGGAAUUACUGGGCGUAAAGCGUGCGUAGGUGGUCGUUUAAGUCCGUUGUGAAAGCCCUGGGCUCAACCUGGGAACUGCAGUGGAUACUGGGCGACUAGAGUGUGGUAGAGGGUAGCGGAAUUCCUGGUGUAGCAGUGAAAUGCGUAGAGAUCAGGAGGAACAUCCAUGGCGAAGGCAGCUACCUGGACCAACACUGACACUGAGGCACGAAAGCGUGGGGAGCAAACAGGAUUAGAUACCCUGGUAGUCCACGCCCUAAACGAUGCGAACUGGAUGUUGGGUGCAAUUUGGCACGCAGUAUCGAAGCUAACGCGUUAAGUCGCCGCCU